rnacentral:rRNA from 1 species
UCUCAGUUCGGAUCGGAGUCUGCAACUCGACUCCGUGAAGCUGGAUUCGCUAGUAAUCGCGCAUCAGCCAUGGCGCGGUGAAUACGUUCCCGGGCCUUGUACACACCGCCCGUCAAGCCAUGGGAGCCGGGGGUACCUGAAGUCCGUAACCGCGAGGAUCGGCCUAGGGUAAAACUGGUGACUGGGGCUAAGUCGUAACAAGGUACC